CCUACGGGUGGCAGCAGUGGGGAAUAUUGGUCAAUGGGCGCAAGCCUGACCCAGCAACGCCGCGUGAAGGAAGAAGGUUUUCGGGUUGUAAACUUCUUUUAUCAGGGAAGAAGCAAGCGACGGUACCUGAUGAAUAAGCCACGGCUAACUACGUGCCAGCAGCCGCGGUAAUACGGAGGCGGCAAGCGUUCUCCGGAUUUACUGGGUGUAAAGGGCGUGUAGGCGGGAGGGCAAGUCAGAAGUGAAAACUAUGGGCGCAACCCAUAGACUGCAUUUGAAACUGUACUUCUUGAGUGCUGGAGAGGCAGGCGGAAUUCCGUGUGUAGCGGUGAAAUGCGUAGAUAUACGGAGGAACACCAGUGGCGAAGGCGGAUUGCUGGACAUUAACUGACGCUGAGGCACGAAAGCGUGGGGAGCAAACAGGAUUAGAUACCCUAGUAGUC
rnacentral:rRNA from 1 species